AAGUCGUAACAAGGUUUCCGUAGGUGAACCUGCGGAAGGAUCAUUAUAAAAUUUUUCGUAUAUUUAUAUUUUUAAAUAUAUAAAAAAAAAAUGUAUUCAAAACCCACACGCUUGUAACCAAUUUUAAAAAAACAAUUAUAUCUCGCAUAUAAUUAAUAAUUAAAAACAACUUUCAACAACGGAUCUCUUGGCUCUC
rnacentral:misc_RNA from 1 species